UACGAAGGGGGCUAGCGUUGCUCGGAAUCACUGGGCGUAAAGGGUGCGUAGGCGGGUCUUUAAGUCAGGGGUGAAAUCCUGGAGCUCAACUCCAGAACUGCCUUUGAUACUGAAGAUCUUGAGUCCGGGAGAGGUGAGUGGAACUGCGAGUGUAGAGGUGAAAUUCGUAGAUAUUCGCAAGAACACCAGUGGCGAAGGCGGCUCACUGGCCCGGUACUGACGCUGAGGCACGAAAGCGUGGGGAUCAAACAGG
rnacentral:rRNA from 1 species